rnacentral:rRNA from 2 species
CAGGCUGACGAGUGCUAUAAUGCAGUCGAGCGAAUGGAUUAAGAGCUUGCUCUUAUGAAGUUAGCGGCGGACGGGUGAGUAACACGUGGGUAACCUGCCCAUAAGACUGGGAUAACUCCGGGAAACCGGGGCUAAUACCGGAUAACAUUUUGAACCGCAUGGUUCGAAAUUGAAAGGCGGCUUCGGCUGUCACUUAUGGAUGGACCCGCGUCGCAUUAGCUAGUUGGUGAGGUAACGGCUCACCAAGGCAACGAUGCGUAGCCGACCUGAGAGGGUGAUCGGCCACACUGGGACUGAGACACGGCCCAGACUCCUACGGGAGGCAGCAGUAGGGAAUCUUCCGCAAUGGACGAAAGUCUGACGGAGCAACGCCGCGUGAGUGAUGAAGGCUUUCGGGUCGUAAAACUCUGUUGUUAGGGAAGAACAAGUGCUAGUUGAAUAAGCUGGCACCUUGACGGUACCUAACCAGAAAGCCACGGCUAACUACGUGCCAGCAGCCGCGGUAAUACGUAGGUGGCAAGCGUUAUCCGGAAUUAUUGGGCGUAAAGCGCGCGCAGGUGGUUUCUUAAGUCUGAUGUGAAAGCCCACGGCUCAACCGUGGAGGGUCAUUGGAAACUGGGACACUUGAGUGAAAAAGAGGAAAGUGUAAUUCCCUGUGUAGCGGUGAAAUGCGUAUAGAUAUGGAGAGAACACCAGUGGCGAGGCGACUUUCUGGUCUGUAACUGACACUGAGGGCGAAAACGCGGGGGAGC